GCCUCCGUGGCGCAACCGGUUAGCGCGUUCGGCUGUUAACCGAAAGGUUUGCCUCGAAUGCCCUGGGACG
rnacentral:tRNA from 1 species